GGGUUGCAUCCGGUCCGGGAGCAAUGGAAACUGGUCCAGCCGCCGGUUCCCGGCAGGUCCCCGCCCACGCCCACCCCGCGGAGGCCCCAGCAGGUUGCUUCACUUUCCCUGGCCCAGCUCUUGCCGGAGGCGAGGAAGGGAAGCUAGUUGCUCAACCUGACGGAGCAUUGUUCUGGUUCUCAUGUGACUUGUCGACCAGCUAUCAGCCAGGUGGGCCCGACUCAAGCCACCGGCACACACGGCACACACGAUGGCUCACGCACGCACCUUUGUCUACUCAGCAACCCUUAGGCUUCCUCAUGUGACGCGGGGGCCCUGUGCUCAGCUCACCAGCGUCAGGUCCCAUGGAGAAGAGCAGGGCGGAUGGGCCAUCCCAGCCUUCUGAGUUCCCCCAGCAGUGAGGGGGUGUGGGAGGCUGGGCUCAGAGCUGGCACACGGACCUCUCACUGGUCAUCCAUCAGCAUGUGCCCAACAACCUUGCAGGACCUUCCCAGCUGACGAAAGAUCCGGCUCCUUUCUUUAGACCCGUUGACCAACAGGAAAGCUUGGGCAGGAAAUCCAGGCCAGCAACAGAAGAAAUUUAUUCACAAAUAUUGAAUGAGUGCCAGGCACUGUACUAGGGCCUGGAGAUACCACCAUGACCCAGACUCAGGCUGGGCCCUCACCAGCCGCAGCCCUGUGAGGAGUCAGACAGGAACUCCCCGUGUGGUUGGCAGUGCAAGCGCUUCACACCCAUCUUACAGAUGAGGAAGCCGACUCGGACACAGUAAUGGGAUCGUCCAUGUCUGGCAAGUUUUCCAGACCAGGACCCUGAAGAGGAGUGGCCUCAUGAAAUAGGGGAGAUAGUAUGACCUUGGCCUGCCCUCCCUGAAACCCUAGAUGACUGAUUCAAACUGCACUGUCUGGGGAACUUCCUUUGACCUAAAUCCUGUCCGCCAUACCCUGAGCAGCAGCCAGAAAAUACAAACAGCCACACCCUCUGCAUUGCUGCCUCAACUUGCACUUCAUGCCAGGGGGUGUCUCAUUCAA
rnacentral:lncRNA from 1 species